AUGCAUGACAUCAUCACUGGCGGGCCGUCGACUCCAGCAACAGCUGUGCAAGUCAUCAAAGGUGUGGUGCCGCUGGCCAACGACCCCACCACCCACUUCGGUGACAUGUAUGUCAUCGACGACCUGCUGACGGAGGGGCCGGACGCAGCGUCCCCCGCCGUCGGCAGGGCACAGGGCUUCUUCCAGUUCGCGUCGAUGACGGAGUACGCGCUGCUGCUCACUGCCAACUUCGUGUUCACGGCAGGGAGCCAUAACGGGAGCUCUGUGGCCGUGCUCUCAAGGGACGUCAUCUUCGAUACCGUCAGGGAGCUCCCGAUCGUGGGCGGCACUGGCGGGCUCCGUGGUGCGACCGGGUACGGUCUGCUCCGGACACACUCCGCCAACACCACCACCAGGAACGCGGUGCUCAAGAUUGAUAUGUACCUGCGCGUGUAG
rnacentral:rRNA from 1 species